rnacentral:rRNA from 1 species
UACGAAGGGGGGCUAGCGUUGCUCGGAAUCACUGGGCGUAAAGCGCACGUAGGCGGACUCUUAAGUCGGUGGUGAAAUCCUGGAGCUCAACUCCAGAACUGCCUUUGAUACUGGGGAUCUCGAGUCCGGGAGAGGUGAGUGGAACUCCGAGUGUAGAGGUGAAAUUCGUAGAUAUUCGGAAGAACACCAGUGGCGAAGGCGGCUCACUGGCCCGUUACCGACGCUCAGGCGCGACGAGCGUGGGGAGCA